rnacentral:lncRNA from 1 species
AGUGGGGGAGUGUGCAGUGGUUGACUGUCUGAUGCGGUGGUGCAGGUUUCAGUGUUGCACAGGUCGGCCCAGUGCUGCCGGUGUUUUUGCCGGGGGUAACUACUUUGGCACAACACCUGUUGUCCGGUAGGGUGCCUGCCGAGCUCAAGCAUGCUGUUGAUGUCAGGAGCAGAGGAGAGGGUGAUCUCCUGCAAGGAAACAGACCAGGAUGCAAACGUCCGCUAUGUUUAGCUGAAGACCUGACUGCCCCCUGGACCAGCUGUUCAGCAAUGCACUAACAAGCGCCGCAAGUGUUUUUGUUCUUCUUUUCUUUUACAGAGGGGGAAUAUUAUUUAAUGGGACAGCGAAAACGCAACAACAAAAAAGAUUUUUUUUUGUUAUUUUCACGGACUAAUAGGCACACGGGUUGAGAAAUGUUUCCCACCAAGGUAAACUGGCCGUCUUCGAAGGCAGUGUUUGUGUUUUGAGCUAGUUAAACGCUUUUGUGGGUACAUUUUUAAAAUUCUUUUGCUUUUUGUUUUGUGUCGGGGUUGUGAAUGUAUGAAGUGUUUGAACCGCUGGGGUUUUGUUUUGGAAAGCAUCGAUUAGGCUUCACCUCUUCAUGCCUCACACUUCAAUGAGAAGAAGUCGACGUCCGGAGUAGAUUAAACCGCACAAGCAAAAGCCCCACUCCCCCCCCCCUCUCGGGAGAGGAGAAAAUGCGUGUGGAUCUGUUUUGGGUCUGUUUGUGGUGUUUGCUUCGCCCCGGUGCCACCGGUCAAGGGCAGUCGACGGCCGUUUGUUCGCUCUCAUGGGGGUGCAGACUGCUCCGGGAGAGGGUUGACCGCCGUCCCAACCGGGCUCAGUACUUUCACCUACUACCUGCUGGUGAGUGCCAGCAACAGGAAAGAAGGUGUGUGAAGAAACAAACACAAGUGUGCUCACUCACAACAGCAGAUUCAGCGCCCAAAGGUAAGGAAAUGAUCUCAAUGUUGUGGAAUAGAGUAUCGUUGUCAUGAAGGAAAAAAUAAACGUGGUAAUGGGAGACAACGCAUUUUUACAAUAAAUCAUAUGACAGUGUUGGCGUGGACUCUUACCUUCAGCCCACAGGGGCUUGAGUUUUGGUUUCUGUAAUGGAAACAGGCCUGUCACAGAAAAGCAGAUAGAAGAAAAGACACCUUAGCCAAUGACAAGGCAAACACUCUUGUAGUGUACCUGUCACAGAGUCUCCACAUAGGUUUUGCUUUUGCUACAGUGUCUGCACAAACAUGUGUAUUUAAAGCAAGCAUAGAGGCAUUGUUAGAGCUGAUAUGUCAGUUAUGUUAGGUCCUUUCUAGUGUGAGGGCGCCUGAGACUUGGGAGGGUGACGUCAGGGGUCUUGUACUCUGCUGGUGGAGCUUGCCGACUUCACCACUGGUGCCCUCAAUCCAUUUUUAACUGAAUGAUACUUUUGUUCUUGGUCAGCAGAGGUGAAAGGAGCCAAUCAGUAGUUCCUGCUUUCAAACAGGAUUAGCUGUGGAUG